AAGUCGUAACAAGGUUUCCGUAGGUGAACCUGCGGAAGGAUCAUUAUCGAGUUCCUGCCCUCCGGGGUAGAUCUCCACCCUUGCUUAUUUACUCUGUUGCUUUGGCGGGCCGUCCUUCUCGGCCGCCGGCUCCGGCUGGCGCGUGCUCGCCAGAGACCCAUACACGCUAUUUUUGUGUUGUCUGAGUCCCGUAUAAUUAUUUAAAACUUUCAACAACGGAUCUCUUGGUUCUGGCAUCGAUGAAGAACGCAGCGAAAUGCGAUAAGUAAUGCGAAUUGCAGAAUUCAGUGAAUCAUCGAAUCUUUGAACGCACAUUGCGCCCCCCGGUAUUCCGAGGGGCAUGCCUGUCCGAGCGUCAUACAACCAAUCCCCUCGGGGGUAUUGGGCCAUGCCGGUGACGGCAGGUCCUAAAUCCAGUGGCGGUAUCGCAUGUACUCGAGCGUAGUAAUUUGUCUCGCUUAGGGGAUCGUGCGAUGGCUGACCAUCCAACCCUCAACACGUUAGGUGGACCUCGGAUCAGGUAGGAAUACCCGCUGAACUUAAGCAUAUCAAUAAGCGGAGGAAAAGAAACCAACAGGGAUUGCCUCAGUAACGGCGAGUGAAGCGGCAACAGCUCAAAUUUGAAAUCUGGCUCCUUUUCGGGGUCCGAGUUGUAAUUUGCAGAAGAUGCUUCGGGCGUGGUGCCGGUCCAAGUUCCUUGGAACAGGACGCCACCGAGGGUGAGAGCCCCGUACGAUCGCGCGCCUAUGCCCGCACGAAGCUCUUUCGACGAGUCGAGUUGUUUGGGAAUGCAGCUCAAAAUGGGUGGUAAAUUUCAUCUAAAGCUAAAUACCUGCCAGAGACCGAUAGCGCACAAGUAGAGUGAUCGAAAGAUGAAAAGCACUUUGGAAAGAGAGUUAAACAGUACGUGAAAUUGUUGAAAGGGAAGCGCUGGCCACCAGACUUGCGCGCGGGCGAUCAUCCGGGGUUCUCUCCGGUGCACUCGUUCGCGUUCAGGCCAGCAUCGGUUUCGGUGGUUGGAUAAAGACCGCGGGAAUGUGGCUCCUCUCGGGGAGUGUUAUAGCCCGUGGUGACAUGCAGCCCACCGGGAUCGAGGACCGCGCUUCGGCUAGGAUGCUGGCGUAAUGGUGGUCAGCGACC
rnacentral:rRNA from 1 species